GUGCUCUCCUCAGCAGCACAUAUACUAAAAUGGGAAUGAUGGAGAAGACUAGCAUGGCCCCUGCACAAAGAUGACAUGCAAAUCUGUGAGGCAUUCCAAUAAAAA
rnacentral:snRNA from 1 species